rnacentral:rRNA from 1 species
AAAAACUCCGGUGGUAUGAGAUGGACCCGCGUCUGAUUAGCUAGUUGGUGAGGUAACGGCCCACCAAGGCGACGAUCAGUAGCCGGCCUGAGAGGGCGACCGGCCACAUUGGGACUGAGACACGGCCCAAACUCCUACGGGAGGCAGCAGUGGGGAAUAUUGCACAAUGGGGGAAACCCUGAUGCAGCGACGCCGCGUGAGUGAAGAAGUAUUUCGGUAUGUAAAGCUCUAUCAGCAGGGAAGAAGAAAGACGGUACCUGACUAAGAAGCCCCGGCUAACUACGUGCCAGCAGCCGCGGUAAUACGUAGGGGGCAAGCGUUAUCCGGAUUUACUGGGUGUAAAGGGAGCGUAGACGGCUGUGCAAGUCUGAAGUGAAAGCCCAGGGCUCAACCCUGGGACUGCUUUGGAAACUGUGGAGCUAGAGUGCUGGAGAGGUAAGUGGAAUUCCUAGUGUACCGGUGAAAUGCGUAGAUAUUAGGAGGAACACCAGUGGCGAAGGCGGCUUACUGGACAGUAACUGACGUUGAGGCUCGAAAGCGUGGGGAGCAAACAGGAUUAGAUACCCUGGUAGUCCACGCGGUAAACGAUGAAUACUAGGUGUUGGAGAGCAAAGCUUUUCG